UUUAAGCUUCUCCUUUGUAUGGUUAAGACCAAGCAACAUGAUUCCUCGCAUGAUGGAUGUGUUUGGAUAAUGGAAGUCAAUGUGGCAGUGCCUGCAAAAUAGUUACUGCAACAUCAAUCACUUCAAAGAAACCUAACUGGUUUGCAGCAAACAGCUGAGCCCUUGGACCCAAUGAAAGAUGUUCUUCUGUAAAUGUCAGUGUGGCCUGGUGGAGCAUGUAAAUGCAAAGAAGCACAGACACGUGGAUUGAAAGAGAAAUGACAACUACAAAAAGGAUGCAGCUUUGCCAUGAAGAAAACCUUCAAAGAACACAUCACAGCUGCAUAUUCUGCUUUCUUGCUAUUGCUGAUACUUUUUUUUUCUGACCACAUUAUGCUAGAAAUUAAAGUCAGAAAUAAAGGCUAUCUCCUUGUCUCAGA